rnacentral:lncRNA from 1 species
UGAAAAUCACUGGCUAUCUUUGCUUGGUAACCCGUGACUGCUCUGUAACUCUCAAGCAUGAGUUUAUUUAAGUCUUAAUGUGCUCUUAUCACUGUGCUCAGGACUUCCGAGAGCAUAUAAAAAAGGAUGAAGACACCAUCUUUAGUAUUACACAGCUUAAAAAAAAACUCAAGUCAGAAAGGGUGGAAAAUGUCACCAGCUCAUGAGCAAAGAUACAUAAAUGCAGUGACCACACUGCAGAAAAUUUCAGAAAACAAAAUCACUAAUGUUUGGGGGAAAUGAUGGAAAAAUGUUCCCACAGGAGCAAGCACUAGUUUGGGUCUUAAAAGCUCAAUUGACUUCAUAGGAGCAGAGAGAAGGGAUGCCCUAGAGGGCAUCAAGAGGGGAAAACAGUAAAGACUUGGAGUGGGAGCUGUCUGGUUGGAGGCAACCCAUGAAGGAAUCAGAUCAGUCUCUGCAGUUUAAACGAAGGAGAGUCUAGAAAAGCCAUCCCCGAGAUGCUUAGGAUGCAUAAGUCAAGGGGAGGUGGAAUGAGAUGCAUGCUUGGACUGAGAAAUAGAAGGUCUCAAGAAAGAGAAACUGAAGAUGCAGGAUUGCAACAAUAAAGCUCACUCUGGAGAAGAGGUGUUUUCUGCCUUGCACAAGAAGCACUGCCCAUCACCAGCUCUGGUUUCUGUUCCUGUCAGCAGCAUGUGCCUUCUGGGGAUGGAUGAUCUGGAGAAAAACCAAGAACGGACAGCACAUUGGCCAUAUUCUUCCUUUACCUCCAGUGGCUUGGUGGUCAGUGAUGGCACCAAUUGACACGGGACCAAAGAGGCAGAUUUAAGAAGGAAAGAAAUUGUUAGGUUCUGAGAAGGAUGUGUUAAUGUUCAGAUUUCUACAGAAGAGCCUGGUUGUGAUGACCAGAAGAAGGUUAGAAGGAUACACAUCAGCAUGGCUAAAGAAAUAGUCUCCCCAUAGACAUUUGCAGCCUAAGCCUGGUGCUCACAUCAUUUCUGCUAUAUAAUCAUCUCAACCUUUCCUCUGGACUGGACAUGACCAACAGCAAUCUUUAAUCAGAAUAGCUGUGAUCUUCCCCAGUUGACCUUCACAAAAUUGGGCUUGGAGGGGAAUGAUGAGCACUGCCUUCAGCACCGAGAAAACUCUACAGCUCUACAGCUCAACCCAUGAGUUGCCCCAAGUACUUUGGGUCACCUUUGAGUCACCCAUAUUCCUAUAAGUAAACCCAAUAAAUUCACUGAUUCAGUCUGCUCA